UACGUAGGGUGCGAGCGUUGUCCGGAAUUACUGGGCGUAAAGGGCGCGUAGGCGGGAUGGCAAGUCGGUCGUGAAAUCCCUCGGCUCAACUGAGGAUCGUCGAUCGAUACUGCCGUUCUUGAGGAUUGCAGAGGAGACUGGAAUUCCCGGUGUAGCGGUGAAAUGUGUAGAGAUCGGGAGGAACACCGGUGGCGAAGGCGGGUCUCUGGGCAAUUCCUGACGCUGAGGCGCGAAAGCGUGGGGAGCAAACGGG
rnacentral:rRNA from 1 species